rnacentral:misc_RNA from 1 species
GGACAAAACCAAUUUUUUGAUAGUAAUAAUUGCAAUAGCUGCACAGAUUACCAGUUUCUAGCCAACUGGUUUUUCUUUUCUGAAUUGUUUAGUUACAUCUAUCUAUGUUUUCUGUUUAAUGUUGAUUUAUAACAAGAGAUGAAUUUCUGUAAAUGCCUUUUAUUUAUGGUAGAUAUUUAUUUUUUCCAUUUUAUUUUUAAUCUAAGAUGAGCAUGUGAAUCGAAAUUGUAACCAUAUGUUAUUGAUGCUGCUGAGAUGCUCUAGAACAUAUUAUUCUUCUAUGCUUUUCUGUAUAAAUGGCUUUAUGCUUUUUGCAGUAUUGAGGACCAGAUUUCUUACAUCAUCAGGAAUUAGGAAAAGAAAUUUCAGCUUUGAGGUUCGCAAGGCAUUCAGUAGGAAGACCAAGGAAGGUGUUCAUGAAAACAUCAUCAAUUGGUUGGAUAGUUGCUACCCCAACCAAUCUGCAUUUCCCUUCUCUAUCCAACCUUUCUCCUUGUCCGCUGCGUAUCACUCCAUUUGAUUCUUCUGAUGUCAAUACUGUUUUCACAAGAAGAGGAGGAGCUCUGUAGAUAUUCCCAACAGAAAACCAGAACUUGGCCAUGAACUCAAGAUCAACCUAUAAAAGCAUGGACAGCAAAAAUUGGCAUUUAAUGGUGGAUUUCUGGAAUCAAAAUUAGUGGACUAGUGAGUAGCAGUAACGGAAAAUUCUUGCAGUUUGAAGCUGUUUUUCAGAAGGAUUUAUUUUUUAAUUGAGCAGAUUAGAAUGAUUCAUGUGGUAUCGUGGAAGGUGCUCAUCUUUAUAUAACUUCCUCAAAGAUGAUGCCUUAAGAAUGAAGCAGAGUAGCAUAAUCUACCUUACCAGAAUCUCGUUCGAUGCUUCCUUGAAAGAGUUCAGGGACCACAUCAAUCUUCAAACCUGGUGGCAAUCGCAAUCCUAAAAACCUAGUAGUUGCACUUGUCAGUGGUGGAAUAUACAGAGUUUUCAGGUCAAAGGAAACUGAAAUCUCAUCAUUCAAGUCACCCUUUUUGGUCCUGGUAGCGGUCCCAGUUCCUGUUCCUCCUUGAGCAUCAUAUUCAAAGUCGGGAUAUCUUGAGAUGCCAAGCUUGCAAGCUCCCAAAGUUUUGAAAUUAACGGUGUAAGUAUCAGUUUUUGGGAGUGUGGUGGUGGAAAUGGUGUCUCGUUGAUUUGGACUAGAAGAUAAUGCAACGGUUUUAAUUCUAAGAGCUGGUAUUCUCGUGGAAAAUUUGCACAGAAUUGGGGGGUUUGAAGUGUGUAUCCUGCAACCCAUUUUCUAAAAAGUUAUGAUUUUAAGUUCUACCCAGAUGUGGAUGAAGAGGAAUUGAGCUUUGGCACUAGACUUGUGGUAUUAGAUGAGUGGAGUAACCAAAAGCUCACCGCAAGUUGCAGUUUUCGUGAAAUCAGGCACAUGAAAAUAAGAGGCUGUUAUGUGUUCUGAAUUUGGACCUUAUCUUUAUAUUUUAGGAAAUUUUACUACUGUGGCAUAUGUUGUGGACUGGACGCACCUGCGCUAGAAGAAAUAAUAAGUGAUUCUAUAAGUUUUCAAUUUUUAGGGUAAGGCUAUUUCCAUAGUAAAAUUUGUUAUUACUUCGGUGUUUCCGGC